rnacentral:rRNA from 1 species
GGGUUCUACCGUUGGUCGGGCUAUAGUCUGUACUGGCGUGUGGAAUUUCUACCUUCUGGGGAACUAUCAUGUUAUUAAUUUAGCGUGGUAGGAAACCAGAACCUUUACCUUGAAAAAAUUAGAGUGUCCAAAGCAGGCCUAUACACGGUGCCUUGAAUACAUUAGCAUGGGAUAAUGGAA